UAUAUCAUAUAAUUCCAUAACCAACCUUCUCUUCCAUUCCAUUCCAUUCACUCAUCAAACCAAAAACAAUGGCAGCAUCAGCAUCAUCCAUGAUCUCAACAAACGCCCUAACAUCCACACUCCAAAAACACCAAACACACAACCUCAAACCAUCAAACCUAUGUUUCCAAGGCUUCAAACCCUUAACAAGAUCAACAAAACUGACACAGAACAAAAAGAGAUUCUCAUCCCUUGUUGUCAAAGCUGAACUCAACCCUUCACUUGUGAUAAGCUUAAGCACUGGUCUGUCAUUGUUUUUAGGAAGGUUUGUGUUCUUCAACUUCCAAAGAGAGAAUGUUGCAAAACAAGGUUUACCUGAACAGAAUGGUGUGACACACUUUGAAGCUGGUGACUCACGUGCUAAGGAAUAUGUUAGCUUGCUUAAGUCAAAUGAUCCUGUCGGGUUUAACCUUGUUGAUGUUUUGGCUUGGGGUUCUAUAGGUCAUAUUGUUGCUUAUUAUAUCUUGGCCACUUCUAGCAAUGGUUAUGAUCCUAGUUUCUUUGGUUAAUUAAGAUUACUAUGUUGUUCGUUUAUGUUGUUUUAAUUUGUCUUUUCUUGUCCCUUUUAUGUUUAUUAAGAUGAUGAUGAUGAUGAUGAUGUAUAGUUUAUUUGUAUGAGAUAUUCAACAAGUUAAGUUCCUUGGAUUAAAGCAUUUUGAUUUGGAUAAAAGCUUCUCUGGACUAUGAAACCUUUUUUCUAUAUUGAAAAUUAUAUUUAAUUUUGUAUUGUUUGCAUAUAAAUAUAUAUUGAUAUAAAUGCCAAGAAAUUAGUAAAUUAUGGUGCUCGUAAAUAAGGUUUUGAAAUUAAACCUCUAAGGCAUUGAAGUGUAAAAGUUGCUUCAACGUUUACAAAAAGUAAAUAAAUUUAAUAUGAAACGUAGGAGUUUUUGCUGCAUAUACCCCGUUUUUGAAUUUUUUUAUUCAAUAUGUCUCCAUCUGAAAAUAAUUUCCCAAUCUACCUCCUUUUUUAUUGUGUACUUGUCACUUCAAAUGACGAGGGGUUGAAGGCCUAAUUUUCGUAGUAAGGUCUCGUCACUUCAAUGGACGAGGACAUGAAGAAGGUUUUUUUUUUUUUUUUUAAUAUUUUAAAUACUUUAUUAAAUACUAAUAAUAAUUAAUAUAAUUGAUUUUUAAUUAUUAAUUCUAUAUUUAAUUAAUAUAAUUAAUUUAAUUAAAAAUAAUAAUAAUUUUUUUAUAAAAAAUAUUUAAAGUAAAUUGUAAAUAAUUAUAGUUUUUCAUGAUAAAAAAAAAUUGUAAUAUAAUUAUUUUUGAAAUAUUAAUAAUAAAAAUGAUUAAUUUUUAGAAUAUUAAUAAUAGAAAUAAUUUGUGUCUUAUAUAUUAAUAAUAAAAUUGAUAUGUUUCCCUCCAAAGUGUCAAUCAUUUUUUGGGAAUGAUAUCUUUCCCACCAAAAAGUUUUUGUGUUUGUACUGUCUCGGCCAAUGAUUGGCCGAGUAUUCAACUAUUAAUUUUUGUAUAAAUAGCAGAACUUGUAGAAAUGUAACUCAGAUCACCAAAUCCUUUCUUUAGUUCAUGUCUGUUUGUGGUCUUGUAUUUUAUGGACAUGGUGAAAAAAUGAGUGUUUGCCUUGAUCCGCAAUGGAAUUUCAGAACACUGAUUUCAGCCAUCCACACUGGCUUCCGACAAUUGGGUGGACGUCGUAUGAAGGUGAGGAAAGUAGAGUAUCGUUGUCCAUACAUAACGUUGACUGAUGCAAGCCCCGAUGGUACGUACAUGUAUUACCUGGAUCGUAUAGAAAAUGAAUGCAGAUGUCCAGUUGUAUGUUUUUCGGCACAUAGUGGUGAAGUUAUAGAGAGGAGUUGAAGGUCCACUUGUGGUUGGGGUUGUUGUUGUUGAUUAGUUUUUUAAUUAACCGUUGUGUUUUUGUUGUUGGUUGUUUAGUUAAUGUGGUCUUACUUUGUAACGAUAACCUUUGAUUAACAAAUGUAUUUUCAUAAUAUUUGUUCAAAAGACAUUAGAAAUACACAAUGGUUUAUAUAUAUAUUACGUGCAUAGUAGUUAAUAAAUAAAUAAAUAAAUAAACUAUCAUCUGAACGAAUAUUUAAAACAUACAACAUAAUCAUCUGGGAAGGUCGUUGGGAUGGUCCUGCACAUUGGACAUUUCUACGCAUGUGUCCUAUUUCACGGCAAAUUCCACACUUCUCUCUUU
rnacentral:lncRNA from 1 species